GAAUAACCGCCAGAUACAAAAGAGGGAGACAACGAUGACGUAAUAUCGGAUGAUCAGAAACGUCACGUACUUCUAAAAUUACUCAAUUAUUAAGAAUAACAACAACAUUGGAUUAAAAAAGCAGUUCGAGGAAACCAUAAUUAGCUGAUAAUGAUAUAUAAUAAGUAUAAGUAAAAUAAUCGUAGCAUACGUAGUUUAUUGUUGCGUAUAUUAGACGAAAUUCAUUGAUGGAAAUUUCCACGCCCUCUACAAUAAAUUUCGCCACGAGUUGUAUUUUGGCGACUCUUGUUUUAUUAUCACAUUGGUAGAAUCGUUUAUUUGAAUCACAGUGUUGAAAUAAGCUUACCCACGCACAAUUGAAGAUAAUAUUUUAUCCAUCGGUAUUCUUUUAUUUUAAAGUAGAAUACGAAUUUGCUGCAUAGCAGUAGUAAGCACGUUUUCGUAAUUAAAAGUAAUCGUAAACGUAAUUGUCAUUGUAAUGUUCAAUACUUGAAUUUAUUUAUAAGCUGAACCAAUAUUAAAAUAGUAGACGAAUUUUCCUAUUAUAUCAUUACAAGUUUCACAAUUUUUAUUUAGAAAAAUAAUAUUUUCAUUUAACAUGCGUUAUUUGUAAUGAAGUAAUUUGUUAAGAAGGAUUUAUUUAACAAGUGAAAUUGUCUGAAUGUGAUCUUAAAAUACAAAAUCUUUACAUAUACUUGUUUAUCAUAUGAACAUGUACAUACAGUAUACACAUGUCGUACAGUUUCUUUUUCUAACGUAAUUUAAUAACUUCAACUAUGAAAUAGUGAUGUAUGAUGUAUGUUUAAUAAUAAAGUGAGUAGUAAAAAUGUUACAUUUGUAUCAAAUUCGAAUUCAUACGUACGUCUAUGCGUUUGCCUGGUCUAUUACUUAUGAAACGAUACAAAUUGAUGCAAGAACGUAUUACAAACGUAAAAUUAAUCAGGAAUUACGUGAGGAUUCUAGGAAUUAUCUACACUUCGAUAAACUCUUACGAGGAAAUUGCUCGUCAACAGAGUUACUCAUUUAAUCGAAACUUCAUAUACACUUCGUGUCUACUUUUAAGUUUCUUACCAAAGGGUGGCACAUUAUUUACAAUUUUGUAACAAAGUAAAAGAUAUAGACUAAUAAAAUCGAAAUUGAAGUACGUUUUAUUAAAAACAAAUAUGCGUCCCUAUCAUCCCUGUGAUAUGUAAAAUUAUAAUUAUAAUACUUAUUGAUUUCAUAAAUUAUUGUCUAGAACGUCCAAAACAUUGACACGAUUUCGAUACGAUCAAUUUGUUGGACAUUUUAUAAAAAAUGGCUGGACGAAUGUUACCAUGAGACACUAUUUUGAAUUUUAGUAGAUUUGAAUAGUUAAACAUAAUAUAAAUUCAAUUACGAUUUGCGAAUUAACUUACGUUUUUUUAUUUAUAGAUAUUCCACUUUAAUGAGGAAGAAUAUAUAUAUAUAUAGUUUCUGGAGGUAAAGCAAAACAAUGAAUUAAAAAGUCGAGACUCAUUUUAAUUAAUAAUAACUUUAAAAUAAUCUCUAUAUAAUUAUAAGAAUUGUUACUUUACUCUUUUCAUAUUGAGUUUGUUUCCACAUUUUUUUCCCACAAUAGAUCGCACAAACAGUCCUUCAUUGACCGUAAUGAAUUAUCUACAGUCGCACAUUGUAUUCUUUUCACAUGAUUUUUAUGUUGGUCUCCAUACAAUUAUUGAGAAGUGCUUAUCACUGAUCAAUGAUAAUUACAUUCAUGUACUUGUAUAAUAUUUAUAUACUUUGAUAUAUACAUGUACAAAUAAAUGUCAGGUCAUUAUUUCUACUCCCUUAUAUAUAUAUCGUAUUAAAAAAGUUUUUUAAGAGGAUUUUACGUUGCAACUAACCGCAAAUUUUAUAUUAGGUUUAUUUUCCACUGCAAAUUUUUAUGCAACAGUAAACAUUGUGUCAAUUAUUGUGUACAAAUAAAUAGCAAUGGCGGGAAGUUGUAAUUCCACUCAUUUUGUUUUCAAUUUUCAUUGUCAUUACACAAUAAUCGGAAGAAACGUAAUGUCCAGCAUUAUCAUAUUUUUCUGCAGAUGACACAAUAAUAAAGAAAGUGCAAAAUUACAGCUAAAUAAGCGUAGUAAAUCAAUGUAAAUUAGCUGUAUAAUUAUAAAGUCAAGUACAAUUUAUAGCAAACUGAAAAUAUAUACGUUUCAUUUUUUAAUACAUUCCGACGAAUUAGAAUUAGUAGGUAAUUUAGUGUACUGCAUAUUUCAAUAUCAUCCAAGACUUAAAAGUUUUUUGAAUUCAUUACGUUUCGUUCAAAAGGCAUUCGUAUACAGUUUCAUCUAACUUCAACACUGUAAUAUUAUCGACAUUAUUAUUAAAUAACAUUUACUGUACCUAAAUUUAAUAAUAAAAAUACCUAAAUCACAAUAUGUUCUACCAUCAUUUGAUGGCAAUGAGUUGGUGUUUUUCCAGUCUAUUUUUCACUUUCCGCAGUAUUAUUAUUCUGCCAAAAAAGUAGCUUCAGAAUGUAGAUAAUCGGGACGAAUUAGAGAUCGCAGUGACAAAAGUAUAAGCGUUUUAAUGUUCGCAGAACAAAGCUAUAAUUAAUAUUUAGAAUACUACGCAAUUUACAAAGCUACAUUUUAAAAAAUUUAGCAUCGUUCGGCUGUCAAUGGCGGGAAAUGUAGUCUUGUACUAAUUUUGCUACGUUAAGAAUACGUCCAUAUAUAUACAUCACAUUAUUGUACCUUUAUGAAUGAUGCGAAAAAAAAUAUUUUUAAAAAAUUUCGUCAAUGCGAACUCACUCAUGUAAUUUAAAUAAUUUUAUUUUUCUAGACUUAUGUGCAACGUAUCACACUUCACCGAGUAGUGACGAGUGUAAGUAUCGUUUUAUGCAAUUUGUAACAAUCUGAAUAGUAAAAAAUGGAGCGACUAUUGUACCUAUUAGUGAAAUAUAAUCAACAAAUAUGCAAGUUAUAUUAAAUAGUUACAUACAGUAUAGUGUCUCUCUUCGUUAUUAGGCUGGAGCAAUGUUCCAUAGGUAUAAUGUAGCUACCUAAAAUCUGUGAUUUCACGAUAAGCUUUAUUAAAGCAAAUGUGUUUUUUUUUGUUUUUAUAUUAAGGCGUUAAAAUUCGGGGAUAAAAACAAAUGA